rnacentral:rRNA from 1 species
GACGAACGCUGGCGGCGUGCCUAAUACAUGCAAGUCGAACGCAGGGGGGACGGGUGAGUAACACGUGGGUAACCUCCCAUCAGAGGGGAUAACACUUGGAAACAGGUGCUAAACCGAUACUGAUGGAUGGACCCGCGGGGCAUUAGCUAGUUGGUGAGGUAACGGCUCACCAAGGCCACGAUGCAUAGCGUGCCUGAGAGGGUGAUCAGCCACACUGGGACUGAGAAACGGCCCAGACUCCUACGGGAGGCAGCAGUAGGGAAUAUUCGGCAAUGGGCGAAAGUCUGACAGAGCCACGCCGCGUGAGUGAAGAAGGUUUUCGGAUCGUAAAACUCUGUUGUUAGAGAAGCGGUAUCUAACCAGAAAGCCACGGCUAACUACGUGCCAGCAGCCGCGGUAAUUC